AUUGAACGCUGGCGGAAUGCUUUACACAUGCAAGUCGAACGGCAGCACGGACUUCGGUCUGGUGGCGAGUGGCGAACGGGUGAGUAAUAUAUCGGAACGUGCCCAGUCGUGGGGGAUAACGUAGCGAAAGUUACGCUAAUACCGCAUACGAUCUAUGGAUGAAAGCGGGGGAUCGCAAGACCUCGCGCGAUUGGAGCGGCCGAUAUCAGAUUAGGUAGUUGGUGGGGUAAAGGCUCACCAAGCCAACGAUCUGUAGCUGGUCUGAGAGGACGACCAGCCACACUGGAACUGAGACACGGUCCAGACUCCUACGGGAGGCAGCAGUGGGGAAUUUUGGACAAUGGACGCAAGUCUGAUCCAGCCAUUCCGCGUGCAGGAUGAAGGCCUCGGGUUGUAAACUGCUUUUGUACGGAACGAAAAGGUCUCCAUUAAUACUGGGGGCUCAUGACGGUACCGUAAGAAUAAGCACCGGCUAACUACGUGCCAGCAGCCGCCGUAAAAC
rnacentral:rRNA from 1 species